rnacentral:rRNA from 1 species
UAGGGAAUCUUCCGCAAUGGACGAAAGUCUGACGGAGCAACGCCGCGUGAGUGAAGAAGGAUUUCGGUUCGUAAAACUCUGUUGUUAGGGUAGAAAAAAUGUAUAGUAACUAUAUACAAAAGAGACGGUACCUAACCAGAAAGCCACGGCUAACUACGUGCCAGCAGCCGCGGUAAUACGUAGGUGGCAAGCGUUGUCCGGAAUUAUUGGGCGUAAAGCGCGCGCAGGUGGUUUAGAAAGUCUGAUGUGAAAGCCCACGGCUCAACCGUGGAGGGUCAUUGGAAACUGAUAAACUUGAGUGCAGGAGAGAAAAGUGGAAUUCCUAGUGUAGCGUUGAAAUGCGUAGAGAUUAGGAGGAACACCGGUGGCGAGAGCGGCUUUUUGGCCUGCAACUGACACUGAGGCGCGAAAGCGGGGGGAGCAAACAGG